GGGUGCUGAGGAUCCAAAGCAGGCUCUGCGCUGACAUUGGAGAGCCCGAUGCAGGGCUCAAACUCAAGACCAUGAUAUCAUGACCUGAGCCCAAGUUGGACGCUUAACCGACUGAGCCACCCAGGCUCCCCUAUAUCAUAUGUUUUUACAUGUUGCUUUUCCACUAUCAGAACCAAUAAAACAUGAGACCUGGUUAAUCCUCAACCUCUCAUUGUUUUCACUUAGGUUUUCCUUUUUCUUUCCUUCUGACUAGAGAGCUUUUUAUGCUGGGGGUCAGUUCUGUUGACAUUCCAGAUUUCUAGUCUUACACUUGGCAAAGUCACACAAAAUCUAGAAAACCUAGAAAAAGUUCACAGGAGGAUAUAGCUGCCCCCCUAAUAUCAUAGCCAACUGCCAGGCAUUCAUUGGUACUGUGAGAGCCACUGUGGCCUUUUGAAGUCAUCAAAGGGUCUCAGGGGCUAUCAACCAAAGUUUUAAGGCCAGUUUAGACCUGGCUUUGAUCCUUGGAUUUACCAUCCAGUAGCUAUGUGGCAUCCUCCAUAAAGUGGUGGAUAUCAUUUGUAAAGUUUCUAAGUGCAGUAUAGUCCCUGCCACACAGCAGACAUUGAAUGAAUAUUGACUCCUUUCCCGUACCUCAUAGAAGGACUUUUAAAGAGUGAAGUCACAUACAGUUUAUGUGACAAGGGCUGGGGUGUGAUUUUCUUCACAGAAGUAGAGGUGGAAACUCUACCAUCAAACUCUAGGGUAAUUGUGUGCACUGCUGAACUCUGACCAGCCCACCAUGCCUGUGGAAACCAGGGCAUCUACUGACACCCAGCUGGAUGACAUAAUCCCCCUCAGGCAGGUCAUGAGGCACCUGCAUACCAUAAUCCCAAAAUAGCCCAAAUGCAUACCAUGAUUUCAAAGAAGACCAUCGUGAUUAGCCCUGGAGUUACACAACAACAAAUGCAGAUCUCACCAGGCAAACAUCGCUCAGACAUUUUACUUUAUUAAUAUGGGACAGAAACUGUUUAAGUGUUUAGGCUUUGAAGGAUUUACCCCCUUUCUCCUUUCCUAAAUCUCAUCCAUGAAGGGCUCCUAGACCUCUGCCUCUGUGUAGAUCUAGGUCAGUUUCCCUGCUUUGCCACUUCAGCACUUAACCUUAGGUCUCUAAUAGUCUUAUUUUUUCUUAAACAGCACAUAAGAAAAAUUAGUGUCAGCCUUUGUGAGAAAGACAUGGCCUUUGUUCCUCUAUGCAAGAAAGUAAAAGAAAGCCCCUGUGAACAUAACAGAACAGAUGUGGAUUCUCUGCAAAAAGGCAAGAUCAAAGCUGGGAGAACUGGACUGGAAGGGCAAAGAGGACCCCUACCUCUCAUUCUCAGAAUCACCAUAAUAUCAGGUCCAGUACUUUGCAUGCCAUUUGUUUUCAAUAAUUAUUAUAGUUCACCUAUUGUAGCAAGCCCCGCUUCAGAUGAAAAUGAGCCCCGCCUCGGGUAAAACACGAUCUUCACUUUGGGUAAGCCCUCUCUCUCUCUCUUACUCCCUCUCUCUGUCUCUCUCUCCCUCUGUUCCUCCUGUUAUUCUCUCUCUCUUUGCCCCUUGCUUACUUGUGCCCUAUCAUUCUCUCUCUCUCUCUCUCUCUCUCUCUCUCUCUCUCUCUCUCUAAGGAAAAAAAAAGAGAUAAGACAUAAGGAUAGUUCGGAACUCAAUCGUUUUUUGUGUUAAAUUGAUUAUAAGCACAUUUCAGCACUUUUACUGCUCUCAGGCUUAAAUUAUUUGCCUGAAGUUGAGGAAUAGCAGAAAAGGGCGGUAAACUGAAAUGCCUGCAGGAAGUGAGAUGAGCUGAAAGUGAGAACCCACAGAAAGCCAUUGGGGAAAACCACGGUGUGCAGGGUUACACACCUUCUAAAUGGGGCUAUGCUCACGUGGCUCUAGCGAAUCACAGGACUGGUGUUGACAGCAACUCUGGUGUCUCCAAAAAAAAACCAGACACCUGGAAUCUUAGGUGAACUUUCUGGACUUUAUUGUUGAUUCAAACAAUUUUAAAACAGUAGGAGACAAAACAAACGUGUCAGUUUGUGACCAAAUUUACAGACCAAACUCUAUUGGUUUUAUAUUCUUGUCAGCAAAAAAAUGUUGAACAUGCAACUCAGAAUAUAAUUUAUAAAUUAUGUAGAUGUACUCAAAAUCUAUGAAUUCAAUGUGAGCAAUGCCUUCUUUCUUUUAGGAAAGAAGUAAAUCUAAAUAAAUGUUCUCACAUUUCCCUUCUUCACCCUAGUGUUCCUUGGCUUGUGGUACUGUGGAGACUGCUGCCUGGACUCUGGCUGCUGGAGGAGUUUGAAGGUUGUGGGACAUAGAGAAGUGAAAAGUUCUCUCUCUCAUGCUUGACCCCUAAGUUCCCAAUUUCCUUCUGCAAAGCAGCCACUAUAAAUAGUUGUGGUUUUUUUUCCCAUUGUGUGUAUUUCUCCUUGUGUAUUAUUUCUUUCAAAAGAAAUGUAUUUUUUUUUU